AAGCAUAUCAAUAAGCGGAGGAAAAGAAACCAACAGGGAUUGCCCUAGUAACGGCGAGUGAAGCGGCAACAGCUCAAAUUUGAAAUCUGGCUUCGGCCCGAGUUGUAAUUUGCAGAGGAUGUUUCUGGCGCGGUGCCUUCCGAGUUCCCUGGAACGGGACGCCACAGAGGGUGAGAGCCCCGUAUGGUCGGACACCAAGCCUGUGUGAAACUCCUUCAACGAGUCGAGUAGUUUGGGAAUGCUGCUCUAAAUGGGAGGUAAAUCUCUUCUAAAGCUAAAUACCGGCCAGAGACCGAUAGCGCACAAGUAGAGUGAUCGAAAGAUGAAAAGCACCUUGAAAAGGGGGUUAAAUAGUACGUGAAAUUGUUGAAAGGGAAGCACUUAUGACCAGACUUGGGCCGGGCGGCUCAUCAGGGGUUCUCCCCUGUGCACUCCGCCCGGCACAGGCCAGCAUCGGUUUUCGCGGGGGGAUAAGACCGACGGGAACGUAGCACCCUCCGGGGUGUGUUAUAGCCCGGCGGACGAUACCCUCGCGGGGACCGAGGUCCGCGCUCCGCAAGGAUGCUGGCGUAAUGGUCAUCAGUGACCC
rnacentral:rRNA from 1 species